rnacentral:rRNA from 1 species
GACGAACGCUGGCGGCGUGCUUAACACAUGCAAGUCGAACGGAAAGGCCCUGCUUUUGUGGGGUGCUCGAGUGGCGAACGGGUGAGUAACACGUGAGUAACCUGCCCUUGACUUUGGGAUAACUUCAGGAAACUGGGGCUAAUACCGGAUAGGAGCUCCUGCUGCAUGGGGGGGGUUGGAAAGUUUCGGCGGUUGGGGAUGGACUCGCGGCUUAUCAGCUUGUUGGUGGGGUAGUGGCUUACCAAGGCUUUGACGGGUAGCCGGCCUGAGAGGGUGACCGGCCACAUUGGGACUGAGAUACGGCCCCGAAUCCUACGGGAGGCAGCAGUGGGGAAUAUUGCACAAUGGGCGGAAGCCUGAUGCAGCAACGCCGCGUGCGGGAUGACGGCCUUCGGGUUGUAAACCGCUUUCGCCUGUGACGAAGCGUGAGUGACGGUAAUGGGUAAAGAAGCACCGGCUAACUACGUG